AACAUGCUUCCUUAGAUCCACCUUUGUGGAUGAAUCUUGAACUGAGUUCUGCUUGUAAACAUUUUGUUUCUUGUAGUUCCAGUCAAGCAUCCAGCAACUUUUUGGUUGUACAGUCGAAGGUGCUUGAGUCAUUGGCAUGUGAGAUAAAUACACCUGCAUGUUAGUCUGAGGUUCUGAUAGAGAUGACAUGCAGUUAUGCUGUCACUUUUUACUAUCAGGAUUCGACUGGUAUGCGGACACU
ensembl:snoRNA